AUUGAACGCUGGCGGCAUGCCUUACACAUGCAAGUCGAGCGGCAGCGCGGGGGCAACCCUGGCGGCGAGCGGCGAACGGGUGAGUAAUACAUCGGAACGUGUCCAGUAGCGGGGGAUAACCUGUCGAAAGAUAGGCUAAUACCGCAUACGAUCUACGGAUGAAAGCGGGGGACCGCAAGGCCUCGCACUGUUGGAGCGGCCGAUGUCGGAUUAGCUAGUUGGCGGGGAAAAGCCCACCAAGGCGACGAUCCGUAGCUGGUCUGAGAGGACGACCAGCCACACUGGAACUGAGACACGGUCCAGACUCCUACGGGAGGCAGCAGUGGGGAAUUUUGGGCAAUGGGGGCAACCCUGAUCCAGCCAUGCCGCGUGAGUGAAGAAGGCCUGG
rnacentral:rRNA from 1 species